UGGGCUUUGCCUCUGAGGACGAUUCUAACCGCUGUGAAUGACAAAAAAGCUUGUUAUAAUACUUUUAAAUCCAUAGGACCAUAAUCCAACAAAUAAAUUACUUUCAACGUUGUUAUAUACAUUAUACUAUUAUAAUUUCACUAGUUAUCUCCGCUGAAUAGGUUACUAUAACUCACUGGCGUCUAAACUAACUAGUUAUAACUUAUAUGGAGUAUAGACCUGUCCUUUUAAACGGAUCAUCCCGUACAACUAUAACUAAGAUGUGAUUUCAGGCACCGAAUUAAUAUAAAACCUUAACACGUGGAACUAUAUUAUAUCAAGGAGAAGUGUCAGUGAAAACAUAAAAAAGAAAGUCAUGGUGACGUUAUUGCAGCCUCACUUGAUAAAUAGUAGGUACACAAUCUUAUAAAUUGUC